GAUGAACGCUGGCGGCGUGCCUAAUACAUGCAAGUCGAGCGACCGGAUGAUAAGCUUGCCUCUCUGAUGUUAGCGGCGGACGGGUGAGUAACAUGCGUAUAACCUACCUAUAAGACUGGGAUAAACUCGGGAAACCGGAGCUAAUAACGGCUAAUAUUCUGAACCUCAUGGUUCAAAAGUGAAAGACGGUCUUGCUGUCACUCAUACAUUGAUCUGCGCUGCAUUAGCUAGUUGGUAAGGUAACGGCUUACCAAGGCAACGAUGCAUAGCCGACCUGAGAGGGUGAUCGGCCACACUGGAACUGAGACACGGUCCAGACUCCUACGGGAGGCAGCAGUAGGGAAUCUUCCGCAAUGGGCGAAAGCCUGACGGAGCAACGCCGCGUGAGUGAUGAAGGUCUUCGGAUCGUAAAACUCUGUUAUUAGGGAAGAACAUAUGUGUAAGUAACUGUGCACAUCUUGACGGUACCUAAUCAGAAAGCCACGGCUAACUACGUG
rnacentral:rRNA from 1 species